AAGAGACUGAGAGAUGGAAGUGUGGAAGCGGGAAAGAGUGAGGGAAGCGAGGACAUAACAAGCGUAGAGAAAUGUGUGUGUGUUUGCUUAUUGCAGUGGCCCCACCUACCCCUCCAUCCAGUUAAGGAGGCAUAGUCCCGAAGAGGAGGAGGAAGAGGAAGAGGAGGAGGGAGAUGGAGGGAUCCCCUCCCUCAGCUAGCGACACACACACACACACCCACACCCCUCCUCUCCCUGUGGCUCACACACACACACACACACACCCUCUCUCUGCUCCAUGAGGCAGCAGUCGCUGAGCAGCUCUGGAUAGACCACGCGAGGUUCUGCAGGUGUCCCACCCUUCUCUUGAGGCAAGGAUGCUCCAGAAGUGACGGAAUAAGGAGAAUGGUUGAGAAAGAAGGGGAUGCAAAGGGAAAUUCAACAAAGCACUCCAGGACACGCUCUACAGCAAGAUGCCGCGACUGCAUGUGUUUGGUAUGGUCAGAGGCUGAAAGCUGGUCAGUGGGUGACCUGCGCGGGAUGCCUGGGUGACAUCUGACCUCUGACUGGGCGUGCGGAUUGACCCUGGAGGACAAGGUCCGACAAUGCGAGGCACGUGCCGUGGCCUAAUCUCCAUGGUAACGUAAGACCUUUCAGGGAACGGUGGGGAGCAGGGUUAGGGUUGUCUUUAUGUUGAUUGUUGUAAGACAUCUGCUGUCGAUUGACUCGCUGAAUGUAUGACGCCCCCAGUGCAAAACGGCUUUUAUACGACAGCCAGGGCCCGGGCAAGGAAGCUAAAGGCUAACUGGGUAAUCUCUGCAGGCAACUGUGAUUAUGCAUUUUGUUCUCACAAUCACCUGGAGAGAUUCUGCAGUUUGCCUUGCACUCGGUUUUCCAGAGUUUUUUAAAUUUUUUAUCUUACAGUUAAUUUAUAAGAUUAGAAAAACACAUUGUUAUCUAAACUGACUAAAUAUGUGAUUCUGUGAUCAAAAAGUGGUUUUGUUUUCUGUCUUAAUAAAGGAGUCUUUUAAAACAU